AGAUUCAUCCCAUAUGUCUGUGCUUUUCAGACAACGUGCGCGCGCGCGUGUGUGCGGGUGUGGGGAGUUAUAUAUAUAUUGGAGUAGUUUUCUUGCAUUGCUUACUUGUCAUUUAGUUACUUGUAUUAAGGAAUUGAUAAUAGCCAAGCUGUGCAAUGAGGGUGCCGAAGGUGGCUGCAUGUGUACGUUUUGACAGGAGAACGAUUGGCGUUUUUAGUGAGCAAUGUGGAAAACGCAAUUCCCUUUGAGGUGGCAGUGUAGAAGCCAAGAACAAAAACUGACAGAAGUUACUAUUCUCUAUAAGAAAAUGAAGAGAGUGAACACAUGACUAAUCACAGGAACCUGAAAAACCACAGGAAUGAAAUGCUGAUAGCUCCUUACUUUGGAGAGUGACUGAAAGAAAACAGAUCAUUCAUACAGUAUACAACAAAGGCAUUUUAUAAUCUGAUUUGUCUACCUGUGAUGAAGAAUUUUAGUUAAUGGAAGCUGCAGCAGUCUGUCACCAGGAAAUAUACUGCUUUAUUCAGAAUGGGUCCCAGGAGGUGUUGCGGAAGGGCAAAGGAGGCUGGACAUCUCCUCUACACUCUCACAACUCCUGCAGUUCCUAGGGCUAGGCAACUUUUCCAACUCGCCUCCAUGUGCAAUGACUUCCAAGGGGUAGCUGUGGCAGCUGGGGACUGCUGGAGCACACUGCACUCUGACCAUGCCUUCCUCCCCUUACAAAUCUACUGCGGUAUGGUACGGAGCCAGCAAUGCCAGUUCUACACCCCCUGGAAUUCUCCUACACCAGAGCUUGAAGGCUCUUUUGUGCUGCUAGAAAAACCUAAAGCAGCCUUAUCAGGGCUGAGCAGCCACCCCCUUGUCUUCGUCCUCACCUGCAAAGCAUCUAGCCUGCUAUGA
rnacentral:lncRNA from 1 species